GUGGACCUCGGAUCAGGCAG
rnacentral:rRNA from 1 species